GACGAACGAUGGCGGCGUGCUUAACACAUGCAAGUCGAACGGAAAGGCCCUGCUUUUGUGGGGUGCUCGAGUGGCGAACGGGUGAGUAACACGUGAGUAACCUGCCCUUGACUUUGGGAUAACUUCAGGAAACUGGGGCUAAUACCGGAUAGGAGCUCCUGCUGCAUGGUGGGGGUUGGAAAGUUUCGGCGGAUGGGGAUGGACUCGCGGCUUAUCAGCUUGUUGGUGGGGUAGUGGCUUACCAAGGCUUUGACGGGUAGCCGGCCUGAGAGGGGGACCGGCCACAUUGGGACUGAGAUACUGCCCAGACUCCUACGGGAGGCAGCAUUGGGGAAUAUUGCACAAUGGUCGGAAGCCUGAUGCAGCAACGCCGCGUGCGGGAUGACGGCCUUCGGGUUGUAAACCGCUUUCGCCUGUGACGAAGCGUGAGUGACGGUAAUGGGUAAAGAAGCACCGGCUAACUACGUG
rnacentral:rRNA from 1 species